ACGCGCUGAACUUAAGCAUAUCACUAAGCGCAGGGGAAACUAGGUUUAACAAAAGAAAAUAACAAUGAUUGCCUCAGUAACGGCGAGUGAAGCGGCAAGAGCCCAAGGUGAAAAUCCCUGCCUAUUCGGGUUAGGGAAUUGUAAUCUAUAGAGUGCCCGCUGACAAGCUCUCUGAAGCCUAAGUGUCCUGGAAUGGACCGCCAUGGAGGGUGAAAGCCCCGUACGGAGUCGGAGAAAAGCUAGGCGGCGCUCAAAGAGUCGAGUUGUUUGGGACUGCAGCUCAAAGUGGGAGGUAGACUUCUUCUAAGGCUAUUUUUAACUAUGAGAGACCGAUAGCGAACAAGUAAUGUGAAUGAAAGAUGAAAUUAUAUUAUAUCUACAGAAGAACCUUGAAUAAACAGGGAAUUAAACAGACCUGAAACCGUUGAGGCGGAAGCGAUACAAAGUUUCAUUUUGACUUGGAGCUGGCUUAGGGGCGUAGAGUCUGUCGGGCGUAGGCAACCGUAAGGGGCCUUGUCUGGCUGGCGUAGCUGCUGGUUUGCUCCCUGUCAAAGCGCAAGAUGGGUUUUGCUUGCGUCAUAUCGUCUGGUGGGCCAGAGCUUCGGCAUCACUUACCAGAACGCUGGCGCGGGCGAGGCCGAGGGACUUCGUGUGAUCUUUGCUGAUUAUUCGACAUCCUUUGUAUCGACUCGUCUUGAAACACGAACCAAGGAGUCUAACAUAUAUGCGAUUGUUAUUGUUUAGAACCAAACAUGAGUAAUGAAAGUGAGCGGUGCCAAUCGUAAGAUGCAGCAUCGACCAGUUGUGAUCCUCUGGAGAGCGUACUGGUUACGAGCAUAUCUGUUAGGACCCGAAAGAUGGUGAACUAUGCUUGGGUAGGGUGAAGCCGAGGGAAACCUCGCGUGGAAGCUCGAAGCGGUACUGACGUGCAAAUCGUUCGUCAAACUUGAGUAUAGGGGGCGAAAGACUAAUCGAACCAUCUAGUAGCUGGUUCCCUCCGAAGUUUCUCUCAGGAUAGCAAGGACAGUCAAUGCAGUUAUAUUAGGUAAAGAUAAUGAUUAGAAGCAUCUGGGAAUGAUUUCAUUCUCGACUUAGUUCUCAAACUCUAAAUGAAUAUAAACUCGGUAUUACUUACUUUAAGCAAUCGAGGUUAAUGCAUGUCCUUAGUGGGCCAUGUUUUGGUAAGCAGAACUGGCGAUGAGGGAUGAACCUAACUUGCGAGUUAAGGUGCCCAACUGCUCGCGCAUCAGAUACCACAAAGGGUUGUGUUGAUUCAUUUUGACAGCAGGACGGUGGCCAUGGAAGUCGGAACCCGCUAAGGAGUGUGUAACAACUCACCUGCCGAAUGAAUCAGCCCCGAAAAUUUUGAUGGCUCUCCAGCGAGCGUUGACCGAUACUCGAACGUUGCAACGAUAAUAUAUGGUUGCAAUGAGUAGGAGAGGGCGUAGGCGUCUUGUAAACGCUUUGGAUGUGAAUCCGAGUUGAAAGGCGUCUAGUGCAGAUCUUGGUGGUAGUAGCAAUUAUUCAAAUGAGAACUUUGAAGGCCGAAGUGGAGAAGGUUUCCAUGAGAACAGCAAUUGGUCAUGGGUGACUCGGUCCUAAGAUAUUGGUAAACGACCUUGCAAAUGAGCUUUGGCUCGCAAUCGAAGAAGGGAAAAUGAUGUUAAUAGUCAUCAAGCUGGCUGUGGAUGUCACGGUAACGUUUGUGAGCUCGGUGACGCCAGCGCGUGCCUCCGGAUGAGUUAUCUGUUCAUCCUUUAACACCCUAGCGACCAUGAAAUUGGAUUAUCCAGAGAUAAUGGUUGUAAGGGUGGAAUAGUGUCUGUUGAUUUAUCAUUACGACAUUGGAUGUGCUCGCGAUGGUCCUUGAAAACCCGAGUGAGGUAAUUUAUUCCACACCAGGCCGUACCAAUAACCGCAUCAGGUCUCCAAGGUU
rnacentral:rRNA from 1 species